UUCAUGAAGACUUGUUAGUUUACCUGGAAAGCUCAUAUUUGAGGAUAAUUACUGGAAAGAUAUUCCUUCAUGUACAUAAAUCUGGGUUUUAUUUUUUGUCAGGAUCAAAGUUUGGUUUCCGCAUAUUUUGCAUCUAGAUUUGGAUUCUUGUCAAUCAUCGAGACUUGGUAGUGUACUUGGCUAGUUCAGGUCAGGAUCAACAUAUCACUAUUGCAGAAGUACGGAAUAAAUGAGACUAUGUGGCCAGUCUACUGAUAUUAAGGAGUUCUUGUGUUUGUUCUGAUAGGCUUCUGGUCACUUGUGUAUAAUUUUGUCCAGAACUUGUGAAAGACUUGAUAUAUAUACCUGGAAAGUCCAGGUUUAAGGACUGAAAGAUCUCGUGGCAAAAUUACGGAGAAGAAAGAGUUUUCAGUGUUAAUGCUACUGAUAAGGAUCUUCACAAGAGUACCCUGCAUCCCAGAUCAUUGCACUCUAGCUUGGAGCCAUUUCAGGUCACAGCUAUCAUGAUAUAGAUCAACCUCCACACCAGCAAAAGACGUUGGUACUUGCUGGCAGUGCUCGACUUGCGGUACUGCGACAACCAUGGACAAAUUGUUCAGCCGGGUGGGUGCGGUUUUAGUUGGAACCGAAUGCAUCUUCAGCCUACACUGAUCUCUCCUCGAUACAACCUCCCAUGAGAAUGCAACCAUGCCAAAAACGGUGUGUGCUAUGCUAUGCACAUACAAGAUGGAAGGUAAUGGCGAAGUGAGUGACAUGCAAGUCGAACCAAGGUGGAGGAGCAUGGAAUGCGAAGAAGAGACUGACGACUCCCAACAGAUCGAUGAUGUAGAGGGACGCGGGGAUUGGGAGUUGCAAAUUGUCAAGAGGUGGCGGCGGCUGCUGCUUGUGAGGAAGAGAUCGAGGAUUGCUACCUUGAGGUGGAGGACGAAGGUGGUGGAUCAACAAUAGGGGACGACUGACCUUGUAGAUUUGAAGGAGGGUAAACAAACAACAAUCGGGGAGUCUGUAUUUGUUGGCCACUGCCCUCUGCUCUGUUUCUUCUAAAACAGUCAACUUUCUGCUUCAAGAGUUGCCUCAGUUCGGAGUUGUUGGAACCCUGAGCCAACUUUAAAAACUAUUUCGAAAUCCGAAAUUUUCCGACAAAAUAUUCAUGUUUUCUAAAAUGUGCUCAAACAAUUAAAAAAAUUGUACGCUACAAUAAGUAUGAAAGAUCACUGUGAUGCUGGCCCA